GCGAAGCAGACGACGGUGCCUGCUCCUCGCCCCGCUCCGCGACUUCUCCCUUUCCUCCGCUGGUGUCCUCCACUGUCCGUGCCGUGGAGUCCCACCCCGCACUAUCUCUGGACGGCUCGGAAGUCGUGCGGGCGCUGGCUCGUGCUUCUCCACAUCCUUCAUGCUCUGGAAAUUUGAUGGUAUUCGUGUGCGCGCUUGACGAAUUGGUCGCCGCGGCGAAUCGGGAAGGGUCUCACCCUCACCUGCGCGUCCAACUCCAUGAUCGCUUCCUCUUCCUUGCAGUCCUGGCUUAAGUGGGGCAGCGAUAAUAAUCUAGCGAGGGUAAUCUCCUUGGAGUUUCGGAGGGGGCGCUCCAAAAGGUGCGGUUCUAAAAUGAGAUUUAGGAAUGCUCUCGGUUCUAGACUCUUUCAGUGGUGUUCGCGUGAGAAUCACACAUCUGUUCGGAAGCUGUUGGAGGUCGAUGGCAGGUCGGAGAGAUCAAAGCUCCUUAAGAAAGUGUCUGUUUUGAUGGGUUACAGUAAUGCACAAGAUUUAGUUGAGCAACAAAGAGCCCAUAGAGAAUCUGCUACUGAGUUGAUUAGUAUCUUCAAAGAAAUUGACUUCCCAGAAAUUUCUGCAAAGUUUCCUUGCAUAAAAAUUGGGGAUGCAUCACCUAUUGAACUAUACGAGGAUUCUACUAACAUGACGUGCAAAGGAACUGUACUUUCUGAAAACCUCACAAAUUUCAUCCGAGGCUCUGGUGGAAAUUUGGAGACAGCUUAUGAAUUUCCUAAUGAAUGUCAUCCAUUGAGGCAAACACCCACAACUACAGAUGAUGCUUCGAGCACUGAAGAGAGCUCUCUCAUGGCACAUCAUAUUUCUCAGGAACCAGCAGUCGAUAAGGAAUCUCGUCCUGAGUCAUUGCCUGAUGCUACAACCUCUGACAAUAGCAUGCUGGAUAAAAGUAUCAGGUGCUUGCCUGGAACAACUAGUAGGCAGUAUCGCCAACUAGAGGAUGGUGGUUUCCAUACGGUCCGCAAAUUAUUGCAACAUUUUCCUCGGACCUAUGCAGAUCUGCAGAACCCUCAAGGUCCCAUAGAAGAUGGGCAGUACAUUAUGUUAUUUGGUACUGUUAUAUCUUCCAGGGGAAUCAAGGUUAAGUCCACAUUAGGUUUUCUUGAGGUGGUUGUUGGUUGUUCCAUAGUUGAGACCAAAUUAUGCUCUUCAGUUAAGUGCAGUCACUAUGAUGCAGAGCAGAAGACAAUUCAUUUGCACCUCAAGAAAUUUUUCAGUGGCACACGUUUCUCUUCUCAAUAUUUUCUUAACUGUAUGUCUGCAAAGCACAAAGAAGGGGAUCUUGUUUAUGUCAGUGGUAAGAUAAAAAAGGCGCUUGCUAAUGGCCAUUAUGAGUUGAAAGAGUACACUAUUGAUGGGCUUGAAGGAGAGGGGGAACAGAGCAGUAUGCUUGACAGGAGACCACAUCCUAUAUAUCCAUCAAAAGCUGGAUUAAAACCAAAUCUGCUGGGUCUCUCUAUCUCUAGGGCCUUGAAGAUGCUGACCCCAGAUGUUGAUCCUAUGCCUCCUGAUGUUCUCGUUGAAUUCAACUUGCCUAAUCUCUUUGAUGCUUACAUGGGAAUUCACAAACCUAAAGAUCGAGAUGAAGCCGAUUUUGCUCGAAGAAGGCUUAUAUUUGAUGAUUUCUUUUACCUCCAGUUGGGAAGGCUAUUUCAAAUGCUUGAAGCAGUUGGUACGCGGAUUGAAAAGGAGGAAUUGCUAUAUAAGUGUAAAAAUCAUGAGCUAAAUACUGUUGGUGUUACCGAUUGGUCUCCUCUUACAAAGAAAUUGUUGGAGGCUCUUCCUUAUUCACUUCUUCUAGUCAAUUGAAUGCUGUUAAAGAGAUUAUAUGGGAUCUCAGGAGACCAGUUCCCAUGAACAGACUCUUGCAGGGGGAUGUUGGCUGUGGAAAAACUAUUGUUGCUUUCCUGGCGUGUAUGGAGGUUGUUAGUUCAGGAUUUCAGGCUGCUUUCAUGGUUCCAACAGAGGUACUUGCUCUCCAGCACUACGAACACUUGACUUCAUUGCUGGAUAAGUUUGAUGGAGAUGACAAACCAAACAUUGCCUUGCUUACUGGCUCAACUUCCACAAGGGAGUCAAGGAUAAUACGAAAUGGUCUCAAAACUGGAGAGAUAGCCAUGGUCAUUGGAACACACAGCUUAAUUGCUGAUAAAACUGAUUUUUCAGCUUUACGUAUCUCUGUUAUAGAUGAACAGCAGCGCUUUGGAGUUGUACAGAGAGGCAGGUUUAAUAGUAAGCUGUAUACUUCUUCAUCGAAGUUGAGUGAUGAAAAUGAGGCUUCUGAUUCUGAAACAUUUAUGGCUCCCCAUGUUCUUGCGAUGUCAGCUACUCCAAUUCCAAGAACAUUAGCACUUGCUUUAUAUGGUGAUAUGUCUCUUACUCAGAUCACGGAUUUGCCUCCAGGUAGGCAGCCUAUAGAAACCCUUGCUCUUGAAGGCAAUGAUGCAGGGUUCAAAACUGUUUUCCAGAUGAUGAGGGAUGAGCUGAUAGAUGGGGGCAAGGUAUACCUGGUGUAUCCUAUCAUAGAUGAGUCAGAACAUCUGCCACAACUCCGUGCUGCAGCAGCUGAAUUUGAUUCCAUAAAAGAAAAUUUCGAAGGCUAUCCUUGUGGGCUGUUGCAUGGCCGCAUGACGAGCGAUGAGAAGUAUGAAGCUCUUAGCAGUUUUAGAAGAGGAGAAACAUGCAUUCUCCUAUCAACACAAGUGAUUGAGAUUGGGGUCGAUGUUCCUGAUGCUUCCAUGAUGGUUGUCAUGAAUGCUGAGAGAUUUGGAAUUGCUCAGCUGCACCAGCUGCGAGGGAGAGUAGGACGCAGUGAAAGGAAAUCCAGAUGCAUAUUCCUGGCUUCCACUCCAAGCACUCUGCCAAGGCUCAAGGUGCUCGAGAAGUCAGCUGAUGGGUUUUACCUAGCUAACGCAGACCUGCUGUUGCGUGGCCCUGGGAAUCUACUUGGCAAAAAACAGUCUGGCCAUCUUCCAGAGUUUCCAAUAGCCAGAUUGGAGAUUGAUGGUGGUAUUCUUCAAGAGGCAGAUCAUGCUGCAUUGAAAGUGUUGGCUUCAAGCAACGAUCUAGCACUGUAUCCACGCCUGAAGGUGGAGCUCAGCAUGAGGCAGCCAUUGUGCAUUCUUGGAGAUUGACCUGUGCAACCUUGAGAAGUGAUUUAAAGAGGAGACAUACUCUUAGGCAGCCUUAGUUUGCAUGUAGAUAUAGUACUGCUCGCAUUGUUGGCAAAGCUGGCAUUGGCAUGCCAUCUGGUGAGCAAAGGCGUGCACUGUGUAUGGUUGGCUAUUGCUAAUGACAAAAUCAAUGUUGCUCUUUGGAAAAUUGUCCCUACCGCUUUCCGAAGGCCGAAAUGUGCAGAUUCCAGUUCCGACUAGUCCUUGAAGUUAUUUCGCGGUGUUAUGGGGGUCCAAUUAUUAAAAUACAACAACACCUGGUAUGCACUAGAUGAAUAAAUAUAAUCUAGUUAUUUUUUUUC